GAACACCAUGGAGAAAGAGCAAAGGAAGGGCGGGCUGUACACAAGGAACUAAUAAUAAUAAUAAUGGCCAACUGUUGAAUCCAAGACAGGAGUUCAGCUCUUUUCGAUUCUGCGUGUAAAUGAGGACACACAGUAUUUGCCUUUCUCCGUGGAAUGCAUUUCGCUCAGCAGAAUACCCUGGAGGUCCACCCAUGUUGCCACAAAUGGCAGGCUGAGGAGGGGAGUUGGCACAGAUAAGGCAGGAGAGCUUAGCAAAGGUCCAGCAGUGAAAGGCCAUACCGUCCAGGAAUGAGGAAGAGGAGGGUGGAGAGCACCACCAGAACGGAC